rnacentral:ncRNA from 1 species
ACAGUGAUGUUGGGACUAAAGGAAGUGUGGAACAAAAUCAUGAACCAACGAACAGAAACUUACUAUAAGGCUACAUAAACGGAUAAGGUUGCACAACAAACUAAAGUCCAAAAGAUACCCGUAACUUUAUGUGGUAAAGUAAGUGGUUAAAUGAGGAAAGUUAU